AUAACGGUCCUAAGGUAGCGAAAUUCCUUGUCGGGUAAGUUCCGACCUGCACGAAUGGCGUAACGAUGGCGGCGCUGUCUCCACCCGAGACUCAGUGAAAUUGAAAUCGCUGUGAAGAUGCAGUGUAUCCGCGGCUAGACGGAAAGACCCCGUGAACCUUUACUGUAGCUUUGCACUGGACUUUGAGCCUGCUUGUGUAGGAUAGGUGGGAGGCUUUGAAGCGUGGACGCCAGUUCGCGUGGAGCCAUCCUUGAAAUACCACCCUGGCAUGCUUGAGGUUCUAACUCUGGUCCGUGAUCCGGAUCGAGGACAGUGUAUGGUGGGCAGUUUGACUGGGGCGGUCUCCUCCUAAAGAGUAACGGAGGAGUACGAAGGUGCGCUCAGAAGCGCGCUUGACUGCGAGACAGACACGUCGAGCAGGUACGAAAGUAGGUCUUAGUGAUCCGGUGGUUCUGUAUGGAAGGGCCAUCGCUCAACGGAUAAAAGGUACUCCGGGGAUAACAGGCUGAUACCGCCCAAGAGUUCAUAUCGACGGCGGUGUUUGGCACCUCGAUGUCGGCUCAUCACAUCCUGGGGCUGAAGCCGGUCCCAAGGGUAUGGCUGUUCGCCAUUUAAAGUGGUACGCGAGCUGGGUUUAGAACGUCGUGAGACAGUUCGGUCCCUAUCUGCCGUGGACGUUUGAGAUUUGAGAGGGGCUGCUCCUAGUACGAGAGGACUGUUUAUUAAAAACACAGCACUCUGCAAACACGAAAGUGGACGUAUAGGGUGUGACGCCUGCCCGGUGCCGGAAGGUUAAUUGAUGGGGUUAGCGCAAGCGAAGCUCUUGAUCGAAGCCCCGGUAAACGGCGGCCGUAACAAUAACGGUCCUAAGGUAGCGAAAUUCCUUGUCGGGUAAGUUCCGACCUGCACGAAUGGCGUAACGAUGGCGGCGCUG
rnacentral:rRNA from 1 species